CGUAGGGUGCGAGCGUUGUCCGGAAUUAUUGGGCGGAAAGGGCUCGUAGGCGGUUUGUCGCGUCGGGAGUGAAAUCCACUGGCUUAACUGGUGGCUUGCUUUCGAUACGGGCAGACUGGAGGUAUGCAGGGGAGAACGGAAUUCCUGGUGUAGCGGUGAAAUGCGCAGAUAUCAGGAGGAACACCGGUGGCGAAGGCGGUUCUCUGGGCAUGUCCUGACGCUGAGGAGCGAAAGUGUGGGGAGCGGACAGG
rnacentral:rRNA from 1 species